GCGCGCUUAGCUCAGUUGGUUAGAGCGUCCCGUUUACACCGGGGAGGUCCAGGGUUCGAAUCCUUGAGCGCGCA
rnacentral:tRNA from 1 species